AUCCCACUUAGCCCCCUUCCACGCACACAAAUCCAACCUCUCCCAUCAAAGACUCCCUCUGUGUUUGCUGAACUUGAGAAGCAACACUGACGCGUGACUACCACACCGGGGCUAUGGUUUUCAUUAUGGCUUACACACUUGUGCAAUGACAUGUAUCUACCCUCGGAGUGUCACAUAGAACAACCGACUGUCCUAAAAAUCCCUGUGCCACUCGAAGUUAUCUCUCUUUCUCUUUCUCCGAGCUUUUGGCAACCAUGGUCUUUCUAAAUGUCCAUAGUCUUACCUUUUCCUUAAUGCUCACAUCCUUGGGACUACUAUGAACUUUCAUGUAGAUGUAACUUAUUUGGGAAAAUAUCAACAGGCAUGGCUGUUGAUGGUCAAAGCACAUUCAGGUUUGUAAGAAAUCGUCCCAGAGGCCUCCCCCUGCACAGCAGUACCUCACUGCCUCCUCAUGAAGAAUUAACAAGAUUAUUUACAGCUCCACAGUCUUGCCAGCAUUUGGAACUGUUGGAGUUUUAGAUGUAGGCCAGUCUAAUGGAUAUGGAAUCUCACUGUUGUUUAAAUGUACAGUUCCAUAGGGAUGAACGAGGUCAAACACCUUCUCAUAAUCUUUUAAAGUAUGAUCCCCUCUGCCAUGGCGUGAAAGCUAACACUGUCCUCACUUCUACGAGAGAGUUGUGGCACAAGAAACAUGGCUUUGUCUGCAGUCCUAAAAGGAAGGAUACUGAAUCACAGUUAGGCUUCUGAGCCAUGACUCUAACAGUAGCUCCAUGGCUGAAUUUUAGGGCUUGCUCAGUCUAUUUCAUGGGAGCCAAGAUAUAUUUUGUUUUAACACUUCGAGGAGUGGUUAUGUCUGGCCUUGUCUGGGUGACAAUGAAGAAAGAUGACAUUUGGUAUAUUAAUAUUUGGUAUGAAGCAGCAGUCCCUUACUGGGUGGCUUGGCUGUCUGAAGUGCGAUGUGCUGGUCAAGGCCUGUCUUGCUUAAUUUAUCAGGAAAAAAAUCCUUUACAGACAAAACAAUUAAACAACAACCCACAAACCCCAAACUGAUGACACAGAUCCUGCAGGUCCUUCACACACAGAGCCCCACUACAUGUGCUCAGAAGACUCUUAGAGAGUACUGACUGCACUCUUAGGAAAGGCUUGUCCACACUUCAGGCAUGAGUGGUAAAUCUUUGUCCUACAGACAAGCUGAAUCGGGAGGUCUUUGUCAGUACUGAAUUUGACUCUGUGCUCUAAGUCCAGCAUGUUCUGACUAGUUACUAAAAACUCAGUAAAUGUAAAAAAAGGAAAAAAAAAAAAAAGCAAGAGUUUUCACAUGAACAAAGUCACAUACCACAAUACCUGGAUCCUAUAAAAUGAAACAAAAUGCUUCCAAAGGGAAACUGUGAUAGGAACUCUUAUUUGUCUGUUGUUUGUUUGAAACUUCAUUUGUGUGUGUUGCAUAUGUGCAGGUGUGAGGGUGAGUGCGUAUGUGUGUUUGUAUUAGUGCAGAUGUGUAGGUGAACGCAUAUGUGCGUUUGUGCAUGUAGAAGUCAGGUGUCAAUCUUGGGGGAUCAUUUCCUCAGCAGAUGUGCACUUUGUUUCUUGAGGCAGAUCUGAGGCUGUGAUGCCAGCCUGACUGUUCAACAAGGUGUUCUCCACCUUCCCAGCACUGAAGUUAUAGCCAGAGAUGCCACAUUUAGCCUUUCAUGUCGGUGCUGGGUAUUGAACUCGGAUCCUCCUGCUUACACGGAAAGUUUUUUAUAAACUGAGCUGUAAGUCUCACCUCUAGACAGAAACUUUAAAAAAUAAUUUAAAAAUAUUGUAAUGGGUAUAUUUUCAUAAACCCUUCCCCUACAAACAGCAUAGGCUUUUGCCAAGACUACUGGUUUCUAUCCACAGCCCGAUGGUAAGAGCUUAUUGUGAAGUCACCACUUACAUCACAGAACACAGAAAAAUCUAACUGGUACUCAACUAGACACUUUACCCCUACUCAUAAGCAUCCGCAGUGCUGGGAGGUAUUCUGUAUGUUACCAGCGAAGAAAGGUAAUCAUUGAUAUCACACCCAGCCACAGACCCUGAGACUGACAACAGUGACUGUUGAAGAAAUGUUAUGGUGGUUAUCAACCGUGUUUUAAAACUGGAUUUAAGACCCACUCCUUGAGAUAGAAUUCAUAUUAGAUGUUGCUAAAGUAGCCAAGAACUUGAGACUAGACACGUCAUUGUCUCUAGGGGGAAACCUACAACUAGUAUUCCUCUGAAAGAACAUGUUGAUAAGAUGACCCAUGGCUAUACUCCUAGACCUCUGUGUUACUCAACCUUGUUAAGCUUUCUCUUGCAGUGGAUGGUAAUUGACCCAGAAAUCUACAAUAACACAGUACGCAGAAAGUGAGAGGAUCUGGAGCACUCCGCCCUAAAUGGGAUUCUCUAUGAAACCCUUCCUUCCCCUCAUGGCUCAGGGAGCUAUGCCAAAGAGGAGGUGGAAUGAUUGUAAGACCUGGAGGAGGAGGAUGACUUCAAGGGAAGAGCAUCUUCCAGGCAACAGGAUUGAUAUAUGUAAACUCACUGACACUGUGGCAGAAUACACAGGACCUGCGUGGGAUCAAACCAAAGCCUCGGCACUGAGAAGUGGAGGAGACACAGAGUCCCAUCCCCAUCACAAAGCUACUUGUACUUGAUGACUGCUGGAAAAGAGAAGAUCAGUUUCUCCUGGGGAGUGUCACUGGGAAUUUCAACCACACUCCAGACAGGCCCCACACCCAGAACUAAUUGGCCAACACAGAACAGACUCGAUGUUUGAAAAGGUGAGGGAAGGGGAAAGGAAAGAAGCAUUAAAAUAUGGACAAAUCCUCCUGUUCACUCUCAUGUUGAGUUUUAACCUCCAUGAUGGCUUUCUCCUACAGACCUGAUGAGAGUCCUCAUGGCCUUGGCCUCUGCCAAUAUUAGCCAACAAAUUUCUGGUUUUCUGUUUUGUCCACGGGUGCUACUGGUCUGUAUCUGUGGCUAUCAGUGAUUCAGGUUAACAGAACUCACAGGCCAAGCACUUUUUCAAGGUCCUGUGUUCACUAAAGCACUUCAUGACAUUGUCACAAGUUAAAUUAAUAUUAGAAGACAUUGGGGUGCAUUGGAAUACCUGUGUUAAACUGGCUUAACUUCACAAGAAAACAGGAGACACAAGGCUCCAUGACCGCAACUCACAGUCAGUAAUACCAAUACAAGCACAAGGCUUUUCUGUCUGCCCAUCUGGUCAACCCUAUUGUAUUGUACCUUGCCCUUCAGCUUUGACAUCUCAUGGUCACUAUUAACUCUCGUAAUUCUAAGCAUCACAUUCACCUACAAUUGUGUCAAGUCAGGAAGAAAUAUAGUAGUAGAAGUUUGAGGAGGAAAAAAAAAUCUCUCGCCCUGAAUCUGUCUUUUUUUUUUUUUUUUUAAUCCCAAAAGAGAAAGUAUGUCUUAGAAUCCCCAAGUGAGAGAUGCGCAGAACUGUGUCACGUAGCCAAUGCCAGGGGCAAGAUAAGAUGACACCAAAUUUGGAAGUUUACGUUUUUCCACCCCCAUGGGAAGCAGCUACACUAGGGAAGAAAGGCUUGGAGAACGAAGCUGCAUGAACGUCGAUGUCCGCUGUUACCAACAGUUCAGAAACACUUCUGGGUACCAGAGGAAAACUCUGUCCCAAAGAAAAUUCUAUCUAUCUAUCUAUCUAUCUAUCUAUCUAUCUAUCUAUCUAUCUAUCUAUCUACCUAUCUAUGAUAAUUUAUAUAAAUUAUAAAUAUAAAUAGUGUUCUUUGGGGACGUGGGACCAUCACACUACCAAGUAAUUCAGUUUUGACUCCAUUGAAGUCCUACAGUUUAAAAAAAAAAAAGAAAAAGAAAGAAAGGAAAAGAAAAGAAAAGGAAAAGCUCCCAACUCCUGACCUGAUUGGUUCUCUGCUCUCCAUACUGCAGGAAUUCCUAACAUUACUAAAGAGCUGAAAGAGGAGCUCGCUGUACCAUGAAGCUGGUUUUGCUAUUCUUCUUGCUGUCUGUCUCCCAUGGUUCAGUUUCUUAAUUCCUCUGGUCCCAGAUGGGACUCCCUCAAUAAAACUUAGCUCUCCUUGAUUCCCUGGGGCCCAAAUGUUUUUCACCGAACCAUUAGAGUUGAAUAUUUUCACAAAUUUUCCCAUGGAAAGAUGGAGGGUGAGAACCCACCCAGCCCAUAAAAUCUGCUGUCCCCUCCGCCAGGGUGUUCAAUCAUCAUGCCAGCUCAAAAGACUGCAGUGCAAAAGCACAUUUUAUUUUUCUGCUGGAAAUGUAAGGAGUGGGGGGGGGUGUUUUGUUUUGUUUCAAACAACUGGUCCUUCCACACUGGAUUCGGUGCAGCUCAAGAGUCGACACUAAUUAAGAGGAGCUUGCCUUACUUUGUGGAAACUCUCCAAUUCUUUAUAUUUGGUUGAACAAUGUGUGGGUUGGGAAUUUUUAAUUCUUUUCAAGCUAGAAGUGCAAAUAUUCUCAACUCUCACAAAAUGAUCUUCUCUUAAUAAAAGCAGAGAGAUCAUUCCACAAAGCACGAUCCUUAGUCUGGGUUCAAGUUGAAGAACUGAAAAUAUUUGCGUUAUCUUGGUUUUCAAUAGGAGUUGCCCGGCAGGAUCAGAUCUCUGUUUGUACGGCCUAAUACCACGCUUCGUGUUUAGGCAGAAUCAGAUACUCCAAAGAAAAGGAAAACACGGAGGGCAAGUCCAGCCUGCUGCACCUGGCCAUUGUGUAAUCGCCCACACCCGGAGUGAGAUCCAAGUCCAGUCUGCCUCAACAGCCCCCUGUGGUCACAAAUGCUCCAAGCUGUCAGUUGGUUCAAAAGAUGCUGGCUGGUACGCCUCCCCCAGCUCUCCUCCUGCCCCCCCCCUCCAAUCCUUUAUUUACAUUUCUUUUCCUUCAGCUGCAAUAAAUGUGCUCGGUUCUUAUUU